rnacentral:rRNA from 1 species
GUCCUUUUGUUUAUUUAUUUAAGGUCUGACCUGCCCAAUGAGGAAUUGAAUGGCCGCAGUAUUUUAACUGUGCUAAGGUAGCAUAAUCAUUUGUCUYUUAAUUGAGGGCUGGAAUGAAGGGUUGGACGAGGUAUUAACUUUCUUUGAUUUAAUGAGGAGAAUUUAAUUUUUGAGUUAAAAAGCUUAAAUUUAUUUGUGGGACGAGAAGACCCUAUAGAUCUUUAUAGUUUUAUAUUUUAAUAAUUUGGUGAUUUAUUUGUUUUAAGUAGAUGAACUAUUUUGUUGGGGUGACUGUAGAAUUUAAAUAACUUCUAUUAUUUUAUUUCAUUAAUUAAUGUUUUUGUGAUCCAUAUUUUAUGAUUAUAAGAUUAAGUUACCUUAGGGAUAACAGCGUAAUUUUCUCGGAGAGUUCAUAUUGAUGAGGGAGUUUGCGACCUCGAUGUUGGAUUAAAAUAAGUUAUGGAUGCAGGAGUCUAUUUACUAGGUCUGUUCGACCUUUAAAUUUUU